CUAUACGAAACUAUUCUCAUUACACUUCAUAAACAUGACAUUUUUCAAUUCAUUCAUACACCUUCCUUUUUGUCUGUAUUCAUUUGUUUUUUUUCUCUUGCUUUUAUAUUCCACCAGAUCUACAAAUUUGUGUGUUUCAGAAUUCAAAUUUUGAAUUGAAAAAUACCAUGAAUUAUUUCCUCUCAGUCUCAGUCUCUUCCCAAUUGUUUCCUCUCUUGAAGCUCCGCUGGCCAACGGCGAUCCCUCCGCCCGGUUGAUGAAGCGGCCGUGCAUCGUGUGGAUGCCUCGGCUGCACGACGACUUCAUUGCCGUGAUGGACGCGACUGUGGCGGUGGUAGGGUUUUGCUGGUUGACGAGGCAGCGACGAUUAUAUUUUUCUUCUGCAUCUCAGCAUCUUAAUGCGUCGGUGGAUUCACACACCUCCCUCACUUCUUUUUUAUCCCGGUCAAAUUCUUCAAUUAAGCAUCUCUCUUUCUUUGUUAUGUGUCCGAGUAUCUUCCACCUCCUUCUUCCGAAGAAAGUUUGAAUUUGAAUUUUGAAUUGAAAGAUAAUUUCAUUUUUCUAUAUUAAGAGAAUUUUAUUUUGUCCUUUUCAUUUGUUUUCUUGGUUGGCGAUACUGGAAUCCAGGUUGUGAAGAAUUUCACUCAUGGAAUCCAUGGGAACGGUGCUUUUGUGCAUUUCGGACAAGGAUUCCAAAGGAAUAGGUUACUUCUUCUGCUUUGAGUUUGCACACCAAGAAAAUGCUCCCGAUGAAGGCAGAGACAAACAUGCUUCUCAUGAGUAGAGCGUCCAACUACAACACUUCUUAAUUUGCCAUGACCUUUGACGAGGAUUCCAUGGAUCGCAGCAAGGUCUUCGUCAACGCCUUGCAGUGGCAAGCUAUAUACAGAAAGGGGAAGCAUUUGUCAAUUAUUAGUUUAUUACCUGGAAAUUAACUACUGAGAUAUCAGGACUCCAACGGAGAGAAAGAUCUUGAAACUGAAUUUAAAAAAGCAUUCUGAGAUUGUUUCACCUUGCACCCUCCAAGAGAGAAAUUCAGAUUCUCAAAGAUGUUAGUGGAAUAAUAGAACUAUCAAGGUUGUGAUUGCACUGAUGAUACAGUUUGUGUGUAAGACUGCAACCCUGGCCGCUUGAUUCUAAAGUCACUUCUUUAAAAGCUCAUAUGUCAUUUAUAUGGUAUCCUAAUGAUGAGGAUGUUGCUAGUAGCACUGUUGCUGGAGGCGGUGCUCCUAUUACGGUCAUGGCGGUAAAGGAAUUAGAAGGAGAGGAUGGCGAGGCAAUGAUAAAGUCAGUUCCGCGUGAACAUAAAGAAAAGAUUUACACUUUUUGACUGCUGUGAAUUCUUUCAAUUUUCGUGAUGUUCAUUUGGGUUUAGCAUCUAAAAUUUUCUACCGGAGAUCAUCAAUCCUUUAUUUGAGAAAGGAGAUACUCUCAAGAACUGUUUCAUCUUUGAUGCUUUUUAUGGGCAGGGAAUUAUAGGGAACAUUUUCAACAUUUGGUAACUUACUUAUGACUGAAGCACCACACUCCCUAAGUUUGGAAGAUUAACACUGUUCGGAUGAAAUUGACUCCUUUAAUUACACAAUGUUCUGGUUAUUGUUGAUUAUUAAUUUAUAUUUGAGUUUUCUGAUUAAUCUAGGCUAAUUUUCAAUUUACUGUUUUUCUUGCUGUAAUAGACACGAAUAAAACGAUUACAUGUUGUAGACAUUGCGCUUAUUAAAAACAUGUUUGUUUUCUUUGAAA